CCUACGGGAGGCAGCAGUGGGGAAUAUUGGGCAAUGGAGGAAACUCUGACCCAGCGACGCCGCGUGCGGGAUGAAGGCCUUCGGGUUGUAAACCGCUUUCAGCAGGGAAGAAGCGAAAGUGACGGUACCUGCAGAAGAAGCACCGGCUAACUAUGUGCCAGCAGCCGCGGUAAUACAUAGGGUGCAAGCGUUGUCCGGAAUUAUUGGGCGUAAAGAGCUCGUAGGUGGUUCGUCACGUCGGAUGUGAAAAUCUGGGGCUUAACCCCAGACCUGCAUUCGAUACGGGCGAGCUUGAGUAUGGUAGGGGAGUCUGGAAUUCCUGGUGUAGCGGUGGAAUGCGCAGAUAUCAGGAGGAACACCAAUGGCGAAGGCAGGACUCUGGGCCAUUACUGACACUGAGGAGCGAAAGCGUGGGGAGCGAACAGGAUUAGAUACCCUGGUAGUCCACGCCGUAAACGGUGGGCACUAGUUGUGGGGACCUUCCACGGUCUCUGCGACGCAGCUACGCAUAAGUGCCCGCCGUGGGAGGUACGAGUCGCGAAGAAUUAAAACGUUAAAACGGUAAGUUAGUACGGCGUGAGACGUCGCCGACGGACGACGACGAGGGAGGUAGG
rnacentral:rRNA from 1 species